UCGGGCCCCGUGCGGCGCCAUGCUGUGAACCAUGUCAGGGCCGAAAGGCAGCAGCAUUUAGCAGAAUUUGGCGUGCGCCGCGGAACAGCCUG
rnacentral:SRP_RNA from 1 species